rnacentral:rRNA from 1 species
UUAAGCGAAUAAGCGUACACGGUGGAUGCCCUGGCAGUCAGAGGCGAUGAAGGACGUGCUAAUCUGCGAUAAGCGUCGGUAAGGUGAUAUGAACCGUUAUAACCGGCGAUUUCCGAAUGGGGAAACCCAGUGUGAUUCGUCACACUAUCAUUAACUGAAUCCAUAGGUUAAUGAGGCGAACCGGGGGAACUGAAACAUCUAAGUACCCCGAGGAAAAGAAAUCAACCGAGAUUCCCCCAGUAGCGGCGAGCGAACGGGGAGGAGCCCAGAGCCUGAAUCAGUGUGUGUGUUAGUGGAAGCGUCUGGAAAGGCGCGCGAUACAGGGUGACAGCCCCGUACACAAAAAUGCACAUGCUGUGAGCUCGAUGAGUAGGGCGGGACACGUGGUAUCCUGUCUGAAUAUGGGGGGACCAUCCUCCAAGGCUAAAUACUCCUGACUGACCGAUAGUGAACCAGUACCGUGAGGGAAAGGCGAAAAGAACCCCGGCGAGGGGAGUGAAAAAGAACCUGAAACCGUGUACGUACAAGCAGUGGGAGCACGCUUAGGCGUGUGACUGCGUACCUUUUGUAUAAUGGGUCAGCGACUUAUAUUCUGUAGCAAGGUUAACCGAAUAGGGGAGCCGAAGGGAAACCGAGUCUUAACUGGGCGUUAAGUUGCAGGGUAUAGACCCGAAACCCGGUGAUCUAGCCAUGGGCAGGUUGAAGGUUGGGUAACACUAACUGGAGGACCGAACCGACUAAUGUUGAAAAAUUAGCGGAUGACUUGUGGCUGGGGGUGAAAGGCCAAUCAAACCGGGAGAUAGCUGGUUCUCCCCGAAAGCUAUUUAGGUAGCGCCUCGUGAAUUCAUCUCCGGGGGUAGAGCACUGUUUCGGCAAGGGGGUCAUCCCGACUUACCAACCCGAUGCAAACUGCGAAUACCGGAGAAUGUUAUCACGGGAGACACACGGCGGGUGCUAACGUCCGUCGUGAAGAGGGAAACAACCCAGACCGCCAGCUAAGGUCCCAAAGUCAUGGUUAAGUGGGAAACGAUGUGGGAAGGCCCAGACAGCCAGGAUGUUGGCUUAGAAGCAGCCAUCAUUUAAAGAAAGCGUAAUAGCUCACUGGUCGAGUCGGCCUGCGCGGAAGAUGUAACGGGGCUAAACCAUGCACCGAAGCUGCGGCAGCGACGCUGAUGCGUUGUUGGGUAGGGGAGCGUUCUGUAAGCCUGUGAAGGUGUGCUGUGAGGCAUGCUGGAGGUAUCAGAAGUGCGAAUGCUGACAUAAGUAACGAUAAAGCGGGUGAAAAGCCCGCUCGCCGGAAGACCAAGGGUUCCUGUCCAACGUUAAUCGGGGCAGGGUGAGUCGACCCCUAAGGCGAGGCCGAAAGGCGUAGUCGAUGGGAAACAGGUUAAUAUUCCUGUACUUGGUGUUACUGCGAAGGGGGGACGGAGAAGGCUAUGUUGGCCGGGCGACGGUUGUCCCGGUUUAAGCGUGUAGGCUGGUUUUCCAGGCAAAUCCGGAAAACUAAGGCUGAGGCGUGAUGACGAGGCACUACGGUGCUGAAGCAACAAAUGCCCUGCUUCCAGGAAAAGCCUCUAAGCAUCAGGUAACAUCAAAUCGUACCCCAAACCGACACAGGUGGUCAGGUAGAGAAUACCAAGGCGCUUGAGAGAACUCGGGUGAAGGAACUAGGCAAAAUGGUGCCGUAACUUCGGGAGAAGGCACGCUGAUAUGUAGGUGAAGUCCCUCGCGGAUGGAGCUGAAAUCAGUCGAAGAUACCAGCUGGCUGCAACUGUUUAUUAAAAACACAGCACUGUGCAAACACGAAAGUGGACGUAUACGGUGUGACGCCUGCCCGGUGCCGGAAGGUUAAUUGAUGGGGUCAGCGCAAGCGAAGCUCUUGAUCGAAGCCCCGGUAAACGGCGGCCGUAACUAUAACGGUCCUAAGGUAGCGAAAUUCCUUGUCGGGUAAGUUCCGACCUGCACGAAUGGCGUAAUGAUGGCCAGGCUGUCUCCACCCGAGACUCAGUGAAAUUGAACUCGCUGUGAAGAUGCAGUGUACCCGCGGCAAGACGGAAAGACCCCGUGAACCUUUACUAUAGCUUGACACUGAACAUUGAGCCUUGAUGUGUAGGAUAGGUGGGAGGCUUUGAAGUGUGGACGCCAGUCUGCAUGGAGCCGACCUUGAAAUACCACCCUUUAAUGUUUGAUGUUCUAACGUUGACCCGUAAUCCGGGUUGCGGACAGUGUCUGGUGGGUAGUUUGACUGGGGCGGUCUCCUCCUAAAGAGUAACGGAGGAGCACGAAGGUUGGCUAAUCCUGGUCGGACAUCAGGAGGUUAGUGCAAUGGCAUAAGCCAGCUUGACUGCGAGCGUGACGGCGCGAGCAGGUGCGAAAGCAGGUCAUAGUGAUCCGGUGGUUCUGAAUGGAAGGGCCAUCGCUCAACGGAUAAAAGGUACUCCGGGGAUAACAGGCUGAUACCGCCCAAGAGUUCAUAUCGACGGCGGUGUUUGGCACCUCGAUGUCGGCUCAUCACAUCCUGGGGCUGAAGUAGGUCCCAAGGGUAUGGCUGUUCGCCAUUUAAAGUGGUACGCGAGCUGGGUUUAGAACGUCGUGAGACAGUUCGGUCCCUAUCUGCCGUGGGCGCUGGAGAACUGAGGGGGGCUGCUCCUAGUACGAGAGGACCGGAGUGGACGCAUCACUGGUGUUCGGGUUGUCAUGCCAAUGGCACUGCCCGGUAGCUAAAUGCGGAAGAGAUAAGUGCUGAAAGCAUCUAAGCACGAAACUUGCCCCGAGAUGAGUUCUCCCUGACUCCUUGAGAGUCCUGAAGGAACGUUGAAGACGACGACGUUGAUAGGCCGGGUGUGUAAGCGCAGCGAUGCGUUGAGCUAACCGGUACUAAUGAACCGUGAGGCUUAACCU